rnacentral:rRNA from 1 species
UACGUAGGGUGCGAGCGUUGUCCGGAAUCAUUGGGCGUAAAGCGCGUGUAGGCGGCUGAAUAAGUCUGUUGUGAAAGUCCAGGGCUCAACCCUGGAAAGCCGAUGGAUACUGUUCAGCUAGAGUAUGGAAGGGGAUAGUGGAAUUCCUGGUGUAGCGGUGGAAUGCGCAGAUAUCAGGAGGAACACCAAUGGCGAAGGCAGCUAUCUGGGACAUUACUGACGCUGAGACGCGAAAGCGUGGGGAGCAAACAGG